UACGUAGGUGGCAAGCGUUAUCCGGAAUUAUUGGGCGUAAAGCGCGCGCAGGCGGUUUCUUAAGUCUGAUGUGAAAGCCCACGGCUCAACCGUGGAGGGUCAUUGGAAACUGGGAGACUUGAGUGCAGAAGAGGAAAGUGGACUUCCAUGUGUAGCGGUGAAAUGCGUAGAGAUAAGGAGGAACACCAGUGGCGAAGGCGACUUUCUGGUCUGUAACUGACACUGAGGCGCGAAAGCGUGGGGAGCAAACAGG
rnacentral:rRNA from 1 species